UAAGGAAUAUUGGUCAAUGGACGCAAGUCUGAACCAGCCAUGCCGCGUGAAGGAAGACGGCCCUCCGGGUUGUAACCUUCUUUUGUACGGGAGAAAAUCUCCGGUCGUGAAUCGGAGCUGAUGGUACCGUAAGAAUAAGCAUCGGCUAACUCAGUGCCAGCAGCCGCGGUAAUACGGAGGAUGCAUGCGGUAUCCGGAGUCAUUGGGUUUAAAGGGUGCGCAGGCGGAAAGAUAAGUCAGUGGUGAAAUCCUACGGCUCAACUUGAGAACUGCCAUUGAUACUGUCGUUCUUGAGUACAGUUGGAGUGGGCGGAAUGUGGCAUGUAGCGGUGAAAUGCGUAGAUAUGACACAGAACACCGAUCGCGAAGGCAGCUCACUAAAUUGUAACUGACGCUCAGGCACGAAAGCGUGGGGAUCAAACA
rnacentral:rRNA from 1 species